CCUACGGGAGGCAGCAGUGGGGAAUAUUGCACAAUGGGGGAAACCCUGAUGCAGCGACGCCGCGUGAGUGAAGAAGUAUUUCGGUAUGUAAAGCUCUAUCAGCAGGGAAGAAAAUGACGGUACCUGACUAAGAAGCCCCGGCUAACUACGUGCCAGCAGCCGCGGUAAUACGUAGGGGGCAAGCGUUAUCCGGAAUUACUGGGUGUAAAGGGAGCGUAGACGGUUAAGUAAGUCUGGAGUGAAAGGCCGGGGCCCAACCCCGGGACUGCUCUGGAAACUAUUGAACUUGAGUGCAGGAGAGGUAA
rnacentral:rRNA from 1 species